rnacentral:misc_RNA from 1 species
AAAUACAUAUCAGGGUGUGAAAUUACGAGAGAGCAUUACUUCUGCAAUUCUGCUUAUGCUAUGCAAUCUUCAUCCUUAAAGAGCCAACAGCACAAAAUAAGGUAGCCUUGAAGAAGUGCGUAACGAAAUGAACUACCAUUUCUUGAAUGUAAAAAUUUUGAAAGUUCAAAAUAAAUACACCAAAAUAAAAAAGAAAGAAAAAGAAAAAAAAAAGUAAAUGUAUAAUCACAAAAGGGGUUCAGAAAGCUCCAUUUCAUU